rnacentral:rRNA from 1 species
UACGAAGGGGGCUAGCGUUGCUCGGAAUCACUGGGCGUAAAGCGCACGUAGGCGGCUUUUACUUAGUAGGGGUGAAAUCCUGGAGCUCAACUCCAGAACUGCCUUUGAUACUGAGACUUGAGUCCGGGAGAGGUGAGUGGAACUGCGAGUGUAGAGGUGAAAUUCGUAGAUAUUCGCAAGAACACCAGUGGCGAAGGCGGCUCACUGGCCCGGUACUGACGCUGAGGCACGAAAGCGUGGGGAGCAAACAGG